rnacentral:lncRNA from 1 species
UCUGAGCAACUAGGACUGACUCCAUCAUGGUAGUCAGACGGGCAAUCUCGUCCUUCAAGUCUCUAUUCUCUUGCUCUAGAUAUUCCAUGAUUCUUGAGUGAUUGGUGCGAGUAUUGUAUCGAUGAGUCAUCUUGGCUGAAGCACAUUAGAAAUACCAAUAAGACAUCUGGCGAAAGAGAGACCUGCUAUGCAAAUGAUGCAUGAAAUGCAAUGAUUGAUUAUUUUU